AUUUUGAGACUUGAAUAUCUAUGGGCUUAAAAGAGGAAAGAGAAACAUUGACCAAAGUGACCACAAGCGUAUAUGACGUGUCAGGGGCAGGUGUUUUUCGGUUUUUAUCUAGGUUGUGAGAGAAAUUUCAUUUCUCAAGUGAUUAUAUUCUGUGACUGGUUGUUUGUUUAGUGUGUUAUUUAAAAAUGUCCAACGAUCUCAUGACAUCAAAGCUCGAUGAGUUACAAAAAGUUAUUGAACGGUUACAAAAGGAAGUGGACCUUAAAACACAAACUAUUAGUGAUCUGGAGAGUGAAUUAAAGGAGACGAGAACGUUACUCGACGAACAAAGAAAAGAAGCCAAUUUGGCAUUGUAUGAAAAAGAUGUGUUGGAACAAAAAAUUAGAGAAAUUGAAAUGAUAAUUACAAUAGAAGAAAACAGCAGUAGCAAAAGUGAUCAAUAGUGCAAGGCAUACCUUUCAGUUGCUGCUAUAUAAUGUUAAGUGAUGUAUGUUCUUAUAAUGGAUACUAUUUAAGGUUUUCUUUAAGUUGAUUAAAUAAAAUUAUUUGGACAAAUUAAACUUUGAUGUACCUACACGA